rnacentral:rRNA from 1 species
AGUGAACGCUGGCGGUAGGCCUAACACAUGCAAGUCGAACGGCAGCACAGUAAGAGCUUGCUCUUACGGGUGGCGAGUGGCGGACGGGUGAGGAAUACAUCGGAAUCUACUUUUUCGUGGGGGAUAACGUAGGGAAACUUACGCUAAUACCGCAUACGACCUACGGGUGAAAGCAGGGGAUCUUCGGACCUUGCGCGAUUGAAUGAGCCGAUGUCGGAUUAGCUAGUUGGCGGGGUAAAGGCCCACCAAGGCGACGAUCCGUAGCUGGUCUGAGAGGAUGAUCAGCCACACUGGAACUGAGACACGGUCCAGACUCCUACGGGAGGCAGCAGUGGGGAAUAUUGGACAAUGGGCGCAAGCCUGAUCCAGCCAUACCGCGUGGGUGAAGAAGGCCUUCGGGUUGUAAAGCCCUUUUGUUGGGAAAGAAAAGCAGCAGGUUAAUACCCCGCUGUUCUGACGGUACCCAAAGAAAAAGCAACGGCUAACUUCGUG